GAAGUUAUAUAUAUCAUAUCUCUAAAACUGGAAUGAUACCGAGAUGAUUAGCAUGGCCUGGUGCAAGGAGGACACGCACAUUUCUGAAGCAUUCUAUACUUCA
rnacentral:snRNA from 1 species